CUAGCCCCGGAGUUAGCGGAUCUCCGUUGACUUGCAACAUAGUAUAAUCCAAGGCCAGGAGAACAGCGACUAAAUGAAAUGUUUUAUUCAUAAAAGAACCUUGGAACAGACCACGAGACUGACAUCACUAACUACGUAAAAUGAUGCCCAAGCCCCCCCUUUCCACCGAGUAAGCCUCGUGCUAAAGAGCAAUGGCGACGAC